AUUUUCCCCAUAAUACUCACCAUGUUUCUUUCUCUAAAGCAUGGAUAUACAUGAUUGAUCAUUGUUGGUGGGAGGAUAAAAUUGCUACCACAUCAUGUUGUAUUCAGGGUUCAGCUCAUUUGUGAUCUCUAUGGAAGGAAAUGCUUCAGAAACACUUUACAAAAUGCUCAUUUUCAUGCCAUGAGUAGGUAUUACAUUAAUCAUGGAAGAUUAAGAAUGGUCUCCCGAAACCAACUUAUGAGUUAACC